CGUUGUCCGGAUUAUUGGGCGUAAAGAGCUUGUAGGCGGUUUGUCGCGUCUGCUGUGAAAGGCCGGGGCUUAACCCCGUGUAUUGCAGUGGGUACGGGCAGACUAGAGUGCAGUAGGGGAGACUGGAAUUCCUGGUGUAGCGGUGGAAUGCGCAGAUAUCAGGAGGAACACCGAUGGCGAAGGCAGGUCUCUGGGCUGUAACUGACGCUGAGAAGCGAAAGCAUGGGGAGCGAACAGGAUUAGAUACCCUGGUAGUCCAUGCCGUAAACGUUGGGCACUAGGUGUGGGGGACAUUCCACGUUUUCCGCGCCGUAGCUAACGCAUUAAGUGCCCCGCCUGGGGAGUACGGCCGCAAGGCUAAAACUCAAAGAAAUUGACGGGGGCCCGCACAAGCGGCGGAGCAUGCGGAUUAAUUCGAUGCAACGCGAAGAACCUUACCAAGGCUUGACAUAUACUGGACCGCAUCAGAGAUGGUGUUUCCCUUCGGGGCUGGUAUACAGGUGGUGCAUGGUUGUCGUCAGCUCGUGUCGUGAGAAG
rnacentral:rRNA from 1 species